rnacentral:rRNA from 1 species
CUAGGUGGCGUGCCUACCCUAGGGCAGACGUGACUUCUUAGGCUUGUUCAGAGAGGGAUAGCAGCCAACUGGACUGAGAACCUGCCAGACUCUACGGAGGCAGCAGUGGGAAUUUUGCACAUGGGCGCAGCCUGAUGCAGCCAUGGCCGCGUGUAUGAGAAGGCCUUCGGGUGUAAAGUACUUCAGCGGGGAGGAAGGGAUGUAGCCUGAACAGGAGCUGGACUUUGACGUACCCGCAGAAGAAGCACCGGCUAACUCCGUGCCAGCAGCCGCGGUAAUACGAGGGUGCGAGCGUUUAAUCGGAAUGACUGGGCGUAAAGCGCACGCAGGCGGUCAAUUAAGUUAGAUGUGAAAUCCCCGGGCUCAACCUGGGAACGGCAUCUAAGACUGGUUGACUGGAGUCUCGUAGAGGGGGGUAGAAUUUCCAUGUGUAGCGGUGAAAUGCGUAGAGAUGUGGAGGAAUACCGGUGGCGAAGGCGGCCCCCUGGACGAAGACUGACGCUCAGGUGCGAAAGCGUGGGGAGCAAACAGGAUUAGAUACCCUGGUAGUCCACGCUGUAAACGAUGUCGAUUUGGAGGUUGUGGCCCUGAGCUGUGGCUUCCGAAGCUAACGCGUUAAAUCGACCGCCUGGGGAGUACGGCCGCAAGGUUAAAACUCAAAUGAAUUGACGGGGGCCCGCACAAGCGGUGGAGCAUGUGGUUUAAUUCGAUGCAACGCGAAGAACCUUACCUACUCUUGACAUCCUCAGAAUUUGCUGGAGACAGCGAAGUGCCUUCGGGAACUGAGAGACAGGUGCUGCAUGGCUGUCGUCAGCUCGUGUUGUGAAAUGUUGGGUUAAGUCCCGCAACGAGCGCAACCCUUAUCCUUUGUUGCCAGCGCGUGAUGGCGGGAACUCAAAGGAGACUGCCGGUGAUAAACCGGAGGAAGGUGGGGAUGACGUCAAGUCAUCAUGGCCCUUACGAGUAGGGCUACACACGUGCUACAAUGGCGGAUACAAAGUGAAGCGACCUCGCGAGAGCAAGCGGAACACACAAAGUCUGUCGUAGUCCGGAUUGGAGUCUGCAACUCGACUCCAUGAAGUCGGAAUCGCUAGUAAUCGUAGAUCAGCAUGCUACGGUGAAUACGUUCCCGGGCCUUGUACACACCGCCCGUCACACCAUGGGAGUGGGUGGCAAAAGAAGUCGGUAGCUUAACCUUUUUGGAGGGCGCUGACCACUUUGUGGCUCAUGACUGGGGUGAAGUCGAACAAGAGCUAGCUUUC